rnacentral:rRNA from 1 species
GGACGAACGCUGGCGGCGUGCUUAACACAUGCAAGUCGAGCGGAAAGGCCCUUCGGGGUACUCGAGCGGCGAACGGGUGAGUAACACGUGAGUAACCUGCCCUGGACUUUGGGAUAACCCUCGGAAACGGGGGCUAAUACCGAAUACGACACGGGAUCGCAUGAUCUUCGUGUGGAAAGUUUUUUCGGUCUGGGAUGGACUCGCGGCCUAUCAGCUUGUUGGUGGGGUAAUGGCCUACCAAGGCGACGACGGGUAGCCGGCCUGAGAGGGCGACCGGCCACACUGGGACUGAGACACGGCCCAGACUCCUACGGGAGGCAGCAGUGGGGAAUAUUGCACAAUGGGCGGAAGCCUGAUGCAGCGACGCCGCGUGAGGGAUGACGGCCUUCGGGUUGUAAACCUCUUUCAGCAGGGACGAAGCGCAAGUGACGGUACCUGCAGAAGAAGCGCCGGCCAACUACGUGCCAGCAGCCGCGGUAAGACGUAGGGCGCGAGCGUUGUCCGGAUUUAUUGGGCGUAAAGAGCUCGUAGGCGGCUUGUCGCGUCGAAUGUGAAAACUCGGGGCUCAACUCCGAGCUUGCAUUCGAUACGGGCAGGCUAGAGUUCGGUAGGGGAGACUGGAAUUCCUGGUGUAGCGGUGAAAUGCGCAGAUAUCAGGAGGAACACCGGUGGCGAAGGCGGGUCUCUGGGCCGAUACUGACGCUGAGGAGCGAAAGCGUGGGGAGCGAACAGGAUUAGAUACCCUGGUAGUCCACGCUGUAAACGUUGGGCGCUAGGUGUGGGGGACCUCUCCGGUCUUCUGCGCCGCAGCUAACG